AACGAACGCUGGCGGCAUGCCUAACACAUGCAAGUCGAACGAUGCUUUCGGGCAUAGUGGCGCACGGGUGCGUAACGCGUGGGAAUCUGCCCUUGGGUUCGGAAUAACAGUGAGAAAUUGCUGCUAAUACCGGAUGAUGUCUUCGGACCAAAGAUUUAUCGCCCAGGGAUGAGCCCGCGUAGGAUUAGCUAGUUGGUGGGGUAAUGGCCUACCAAGGCGACGAUCCUUAGCUGGUCUGAGAGGAUGAUCAGCCACACUGGGACUGAGACACGGCCCAGACUCCUACGCGAGGCAGCGGUGGGGAAUAUUGGACAAUGGGCGCAAGCCUGGUCCAGCAGUGCCGCGGGAGUGAUGAAGGCCUUAGGGUUGUAAAGCUCUUUUACCCGGGAUGAUAAUGACAGUACCGGGAGAAUAAGCUCCGGCUAACUCCGUG
rnacentral:rRNA from 1 species